UAUAUUAUCCUUUGGGGGAGCAUGUCUGUAGUCAUUACUAGAGAAGUCUCUGAUCAUGUAGAGUGCCUAAAACCGUGAGAAGCUAGAGCAUCCUCUCUGGAGCGUGAUGCUGGUUCAGGUAUGACUUUUGUGACUGACUUUUACCAUUGAUGAUCAUUCUUCUCUUCCCUUGGAAGGGUGAGAGGGACAGGAUGCAGGCUGAGUGGU